rnacentral:rRNA from 1 species
UACGUAGGGGGCGAGCGUUGUCCGGAAUCAUUGGGCGUAAAGCGCGUGUAGGCGGCCCGGUAAGUCCGCUGUGAAAGUCCAGGGCUCAACCCUGGGAUGCCGGUGGAUACUGUCGGGCUCGAGUCCGGAAGAGGCGAGUGGAAUUCCUGGUGUAGCGGUGAAAUGCGCAGAUAUCAGGAGGAACACCGGUGGCGAAGGCGCCACUCUGGGCCGGUACCUGACGCUGAGGAGCGAAAGCGUGGGUAGCAACAGG